CUGAUGAGUACCCUGACCUAGACUCCCACUGAGACCUUCUAAUUCCAAGACCCAUAUAUCUUUUCCUCCUCUCUACUGAUUCCUCCCUUGCAAUGAUGAAGUCAUACAAAGAAGCUUGCUCUUCAUUCAGAUCUAUAGAAUAAGAUUGCUAAUACUGAAAGAAUGGAUCCCUGCACUUUGAUGCUUGCUGUCUCUUAGGCUCCCAAGUGACACAAAGUAUUUUGUGUUACUCAUGAAAGAAGAAUUCAGAUUCUUACAAAGAAACUGCAAAUUGAUGAUAGCAAAACACUAAUGAUGGAAACAUAAAUGAGCAAUUGAAAAUGAAAGAACUGACACUUCCUGUUUUAGAAUAUCAUCUUCAAAAGCCACAA